UGAAAAGGAAGAGGUCAAUUUUUAGGGGUAAAGAUGUAAUCUAAUUGUCUGGCAUUUAGUAUCUACGAAUAUAUUACAUGUUAGGGCACUUGUUUUUAAAAUUUUUACACUUCGCUAAAUUUGUUAUUCCCCCCCUCUACAUUUAUUGUACAUGAGCAAAAUUCUGUAUAUCCUUGGUUUUCACAGAUUUGAUGUUCAACAUGUGAAGUGUUUAGCUAUGUAAUUAUUUUUUCACAUCUAUAUUGUAAAGCAACAUGUCCUUUUUAAAGCGGAUGAAUUAUUCAAUGCAAUAUGUAUUUUCAAUUGAUAUUCUUUAGUGUUUAUAACGUGAUUAAUUGAAGCAAUUGCUUGGUCCAUUCAAAAAAUGGUAGAAUCUGGUCUCAUAAGAAAAUGUUCUCAACACAUUUGAAAUAUAUGUAUUUUUCCAAAUAUUCUAACUUGUAUAAGAAAUAAUUACUGCAAUACCUUUUAACCUCCAAUAAAAAAAGAGCAUUAUUUUUAAUAAAGUUAUGCACCACCAUGCAUCAGUGUAUAUAACUGAAUUGAACAAAGAUUAGAUUUGGUAACUUGAAAGUCCAUUAAUGAAUUACAGUGGACAUUCAGAAAGGGGCUUUGGUUUGUGUGCAAUUUUUAUUUUAUUUUAUUUUUUUGGUUUGUAAAUCCAAUUUCAUAAUAUUUCUGUGAUACCAUAGUACGUUGUAAACUAAAGGAUUCUGAAACCUCCUAAAUUUAGGAUGGGUAGCCUGUACAGUCAACCAAUUCUAUGCUUGACUUAUUUCAGAUAAUUUGACGUUUAAUUGAUGCCACUUUUGCUGUAUGGUUUUUAAAGUUUUGUUGCAAUGUUACAUAUUUUUUGACAAAGUUGAACAAUGCAAGGUGAAGCUUUUUUGCAGUAAAGCGUGCCGGAAAUGAU
rnacentral:sRNA from 1 species